rnacentral:tRNA from 1 species
GGCAGGGUGACGGAAUCGGCAGACGUACCGGACUCAAAAUCCGGCGCUCUUCACUGAGCAUGAGGGUUCGACCCCCUCCCCUGCUACCA